AAUAUAGGAGAGAAAAUAGGUUUUUUAUAUUAAAAGGGAAAUCGGUGCAAAUCCGAUACAGCCACCGCUACUGUGAGUGGGUACGAAAUCAAUAAUAAGCCACUGGGUUAACUGGGAAGGCAUUGAGAGUAGGAUGAUCCACAAGUCAGGAGACCUGCCUAUUUUCUACGAGAAGU
rnacentral:ncRNA from 2 species